AUGGAUGUAGUUCAAUGGUGGAACACUGGUUUUGGGAACCAGAGGUUGUUGGUUCGAGUCCGAUCAUCCUGA
rnacentral:tRNA from 1 species